rnacentral:rRNA from 1 species
GGUCAAGAUACUAAGAGCAAUUGGUGGAUGCCUAGGCAUAUAGAGGCGAUGAAGGACGUGGCUAGCUGCGAAAAGCUUCGGGAAGGUGCAAACAACCGUUGAUCCGGAGAUGUCCGAAUGGGGCAACCCUAUCUGAUUAAUAUCAGGUAACUCCCGGCUGAAUAUAUAGGCCGGGUAGAGCGAACGGGGCGAAUUGACACAUCUAAGUACCCCCAGGAAUAGAAAACAACCGUGAUUCCCAAAGUAGCGGCGAGCGAACUGGGAAGAGCCCAAACCUGCUUUAUGUUAAAGCCUGCCGGCGUUGUAUAGCAGGGGUUGCGGGACAUUUUUAGAGAGAUCGGCAGGUCUCUCGACAAGUCAAAAACCUGUACAUUAUUCGAACAGUUCUGGAAAGGACUGGCCGUAGAAGGUGAAAGCCCUGUAGGAGAAAAUCUGCAGGCUUGUUGAAAAAUGUUCCCAAUUACCACGAUCCACGAGGAAUUUUGUGGGAAUCUACCGGGACCACCCGGAAAGGCUAAAUACUCCUAUAUGACCGAUAGUGAACUAGUACCGUGAGGGAAAGGUGAAAAGUACUCCUGACGGAGAGUGAAAUAGAACCUGAAACCAUUUGCUUACAAUCUGUUGGAGUCCCGAUUAUUCGGGAUGACAGCGUGCCUUUUGCAUAAUGAGCCAGCGAGUUACUCGUAUGUUGCAAGGCUAAUCCAGACGGAGGAGCCGUAGCGAAAGCAAGUCUGAAUAGGGCGAUUAGUAACAUGCGGUAGACCCGAAGCCGAGUGAUCUAUCCAUGGCCAGGAUGAAGUUCCGGUAACACGGAAUGGAGGUCCGAACCCACCAGCGUUGAAAAGCUGGGGGAUGAGCUGUGGAUGGGGGUGAAAGGCCAAUCAAACUCGGUGAUAGCUGGUUCUCCCCGAAAUAGCUUUAGGGCUAGCCUUGCAUAAGAGUAUGACGGAGGUAGAGCACUGAAUGGGCUAGGGGCCUUACCAGGUUACCAACCCCAACCAAACUCCGAAUGCCGUCCAUAUGUUUUGCAGGAGUCAGGCCGUGUGGGAUAAGCUUCACGGCCGAGAGGGAAACAACCCAGAUCGAUAGCUAAGGUCCCUAAAUACAGGGUAAGUGAUAAAGGAUGUGAAAUUACACAGACAGCUAGGAUGUUGGCUUAGAAGCAGCCACUCAUUUAAAGAGUGCGUAAUAGCUCACUAGUCAAGUGGUUUCGCGCCAAUAAUUCUCGGGACUAAUAACCCUGUUACCGAAGCUUCGGAUUUUACCGUUAUGCGGUAGAGUGGUAGGGGAGCGUUCCAUUAACCGUUGAAGGUCAAUCGCGAGGUUGGCUGGAGGACAUGGAAAUGAGUAUGCUGGCAUGAGUAGCGAUAAUUCCGGUGAGAUUCCGGAACACCGAAAGCCUAAGGGUUCCUGAGUAAAGUAAAUCUUCUCAGGGUUAGUCGGACCCUAAGCCGAGGCCGAAAGGCGUAGGCGAUGGAAAACAGGUUGAAUAUUCCUGUACCAUCAAUAUAUUGUUUGAUCUAUGGGGUAACGCAGGAGUGAAAGGUCAGCCGGGUGUUGAAUGUCCCGGUUUAAGCAGGUAGGGGGACUGGAUAGGAAAAUCCGUUCGGUCAUAACCCCGAGACGCGAAUAGGAGUCCCUAGGACAUAAACUGACCCUAAUCAUACUGACGAGAAAAGCCUCUAUGGUAGAUAUAUGGAUGUCCGUACCCUAAACCGACACAGGUAGGCGAGGAGAGUAUCCUAAGGUGCUCGAGAUAGCUCUGGUUAAGGAACUAGGCAAAUUUGCCCCGUAACUUCGGAAUAUGGGGUGCCUCAAUUAGGUGAAAUUUUUACUAAUGUAGCCGAAAGAGGUCGCAGUGAAAAGGUCCAAGCGACUGUUUACUAAAAACACAGGUCUAUGCGAAAUCGUAAGACGAUGUAUAUGGACUGACACCUGCCCGGUGCUGGAAGGUUAAAGGGACGUGUCAUCCCGAUUUAUCGGGAGAAGCUCUGAACUGAAGCCCCAGUAAACGGCGGCCGUAACUAUAACGGUCCUAAGGUAGCGAAAUUCCUUGUCGGGUAAGUUCCGAC